UGAAUACGAGAUGCUACGGCGUCGAAGCAGUCUAUGUCAUACUUCCAAGAAAAGCUUGCACUGUCAUAAACAAAUAAUGCCUGUACCAUAACCGACACAGGUGGGUAGGUAGAGUAUACUAAGGGGCGCGAGAUAACUCUCUCUAAGGAACUCGGCAAAAUGACUCCGUAACUUCGGGAGAAGGAGUGCCUUAUUUAUAAGGUUGCAAUAACAAGAUCCAAGCAACUGUUUACCAAAAACACAGGUCUCCGCUAAGUCGUAAGACGAUGUAUGGGGGCUGACGCCUGCCCAGUGCCAGAAGGUUAAAGAAGUUGGUUAGCAUCCGCGAAGCUGAUAACUGAAGCCCUGGUGAACGGCGGCCGUAACAAUAACGGUCCUAAGGUAGCGAAAUUCCUUGUCGGGUAAGUUCCGACCCGCACGAAAGGCGUAAUGAUUUGGAUACUGUCUCGGAGAGGGGCUCGGUGAAAUAGACUUGUCUGUGAAGAUGCGGACUACCUGCACCAGGACAGAAAGACCCUAUGAAGCUUUACUGUAACCUGAAAUUGAAAUUGGACUUUACUUGCGCAGUAUAGGUGGGAGGCGUUGAGAAUAUUCUUGCGGGAUUAUUGGAGCCAUCAGUGAGAUACCACUCUUGUAAUGUUAGAUUUCUAACUUUGUAUCAUUAUCUGGUCAAAGAACAGUUUCAGGCGGGCAGUUUGACUGGGGCGGUCGCCUCCUAAACGGUAACGGAGGCGCACAAAGGUUUCCUCUGAACGGGUAGAAAUCGUAUCUAGAGUGUAAAGGCAUAAGGAAGCUUGACUGUGAGACCUACAAGUCGAGCAGGGACGAAAGUCGGUCUUAGUGAUCUGACGGUGCUGAGUGGAAAGGCCGUCACUCAACGGAUAAAAGUUACUCUAAGGAUAACAGGCUGAUCUCCCCCAAGAGUUCACAUCGACGGGGAGGUUUGGCACCUCGAUGUCGGCUCAUCGCAUCCUGGGGCGGUAGUACGUCCCAAGGGUUGGGCUGUUCGCCCAUGAAAGCGGUACGCGAGCUGGGUUCAGAACGUCGUGAGACAGUUCGGUCCAUAUCCGGUGUAGGCGUUAGAAUAUUGAGAGGAGCCUUCUUUAGUACGAGAGGACCGAGAAGGACAUACCUCUGGUGUACCAGUUAUCGUGCCAACGGUAAACGCUGGGUAGCUAUGUGUGGAGUGGAUAACCGCUGAAAGCAUCUAAGUGGGAAGCCCACCUCAAGAUAAGUAUUCUCGUA
rnacentral:rRNA from 1 species